rnacentral:rRNA from 1 species
AGAGUUUGAUCCUGGCUCAGGAUGAACGCUAGCGGCAGGCCUAACACAUGCAAGUCGAGGGAGAAGCCUUUCGGGGCAGAAACCGGCGCACGGGUGCGUAACGCGUAUGCAACCUACCUUUCACAGGGGGAUAGCCCGAAGAAAUUUGGAUUAAUACCCCAUAAUAUUGUUGGAUGGCAUCAUCUGAUAAUUAAAACUGCGGUGGUGAAAGAUGGGCAUGCGUCCUAUUAGCUAGUUGGAGUGGUAACGGCACCCCAAGGCUACGAUAGGUAGGGGUCCUGAGAGGGAGAUCCCCCACACUGGUACUGAGACAGGGACCAGACUCCUACGGGAGGCAGCAGUGAGGAAUAUUGGUCAAUGGUCGGAAGACUGAACCAGCCAUGCCGCGUGCAGGAAGAAUGCCUUAUGGGUUGUAAACUGCUUUUAUAUGGGAAGAAUAAGGUGUACGUGUACAUUGAUGACGGUACCAUAUGAAUAAGCAUCGGCUAACUCCGUGCCAGCAGCCGCGGUAAUACGGAGGAUGCGAGCGUUAUUCGGAAUCAUUGGGUUUAAAGGGUCUGUAGGCGGGCUAUUAAGUCAGGGGUGAAAGGUUUCAGCUUAACUGAGAAAUUGCCUUUGAUACUGGUAGUCUUGAAUAUCUGUGAAGUUCUUGGAAUGUGUAGUGUAGCGGUGAAAUGCUUAGAUAUUACACAGAACACCGAUUGCGGAGGCAGGGGACUAACAGACGAUUGACGCUGAGAGACGAAAGCGUGGGGAGCGAACAGGAUUAGAUACCCUGGUAGUCCACGCU